UACGGAGGGGGCGAGCGUUAUUCGGAAUUAUUGGGCGUAAAGGGCGCGUAGGCGGUCGUGACAAGUCACUUGUGAAAUCUCCGGGCUUAACUCGGAACGGUCAAGUGAUACUGUCGGACUAGAGUACAGAAGGGGCAACUGGAAUUCUCGGUGUAGCGGUGAAAUGCGUAGAUAUCGAGAGGAACACCUGCGGCGAAGGCGGGUUGCUGGGCUGAUACUGACGCUGAGGCGCGAAAGCCAGGGGAGCGAACGGG
rnacentral:rRNA from 1 species